GACGAACGCUGGCGGCGUGCUUAACACAUGCAAGUCGAACGGAAAGGCCCUGCUUUUGUGGGGUGCUCGAGUGGCGAACGGGUGAGUAACACGUGAGUAACCUGCCCUUGACUUUGGGAUAACUUCAGGAAACUGGGGCUAAUACCGGAUAGGAGCUCCUGCUGCAUGGUGGGGGUUGGAAAGUUUCGGCGGGUGGGGAUGGACUCGCGGCUGAUCAGCUUGUUGGUGGGGUAGUGGCUUACCAAGGCUUUGACGGGUAGCCGGCCUGAGAGGGUGACCGGCCACAAUGGGACUGAGAUACGGACCAGAGUCCUACGGGAGGCAGCAGUGGGGAAUAUUGCACAAUGGGCGGAAGCCUGAUGCAGCAACGCCGCGUGCGUGAUGACGGCCUUCGGGUUGUAAACCGCUUUCGCCUGUGACGAAGCGUGAGUGACGGUAAUGAGUAAAGAAGCACCGGCUAACUACGUG
rnacentral:rRNA from 1 species